rnacentral:lncRNA from 1 species
UUAAGUUGGAUUUGGCUUUGCUUUUGUAUGAACCCAAGGCACUGGAGCUGUUCUAAAGGCUUCCCAUGAAUCAUCUUAACACACUGGUGAGCUCAAUGUAAGUGUCCUUUUCUCUGGAGAGUCUGCUCUAUUCUUUUCCCAUCCCCCGAUUAGAUAACAUUCCCUAUUCUAUCUUCACAGCUAUACAAAUUCUUUGUAGUAUUUUCAUCAGCUGCAUUUUCACAUUUCUGUGUGUGUUUUUUUGUUUAAUGGCUGGGUUUCCUACUAGCAAAUGGAGUCCUUGAAUACAGGGAUAGAUGUGGCCAAAGUUCUGGACUGCCUGGGACAGAGAUGAGCUCAGUAAGGAUGAGUUAAAGACAUGAAUGCUUGCUGGGUGACAGCUGCUUUACACUCAGUGACUGGGAGCCCUAGUUUUCCUGUUAGAACUACUAUAGGCUCUGCAAUUCUCCUGCAGAUGUUGUUUGUUUGGGGUCUCUAUGUCCUGGUCUUAGCUGGGCUCAUUCACAUGUCUGUGGAUAGGCUGGAAGCUGGCUGAUCUAGGCUGGAUUGAUUGGGACCAAAAGGUUUUUAUUUCCUCAUCUUCCAAAUGAUGCUGUAAUACCCAGAGGACAAUUAUCUCAGUAGGGAGAAGUUUCCUAUAACCAUGAAACUUUUAACAAGGGAUCACGACACGUGAGAUUUGAGAGUUUGUGUAGAUGGAAGCAACUUGGGAGAGACUGGAGCAUGGCUUCUCCAUGGCAUUUGGAAAAAUGGUGCACAAUCAGCCCAGGGUCCAUGGCUCGAAGGCAAACCGACCUCCCUCAGGGCUACAAAGGCUCAGAGUUUGGCUUCCAGUGGUGUUCUGGCUAACCUCAAAUCAUGAAAACUUUGGAAAGAGCAGAUUUCGGUGAUCUGAGGGGUUGUCUCCAGUGAAGCAAUAACUUGAAAGGAAACUGAAAUUCAGCAAACACCAGCCCUUCAAGUCCUCAGAGAUGGACUCCCCCACCAGCAAGCUUCUGCAACUCUUCUCCUAUUGGCACUCGCUUGGAAUGGCUUGGGGGUGACUCAGCAGAGGGCCCAAAAUAAAACGCUGUUAAGAGGAGCUUGACUCACCCACAUGACUAGUUACUGGGUCAAUCCAAGGAGGCAGAGCUUGUUGCUUCUCAAAAGUUUCCUUCCCCAGGGGCCACCUGGUGAAGGCGUAUUUGGAAAGUUUCUGUGGGAGGAAAGGAGUGGGGUCAGGUGGGGAAAUGACAUUGACUGGUGAUUGACUUUGGCAUCCUUUGUCUUUGGUCUGAGAUUAGAGAUUAUCUGCUGACAGUCACAGUGAGCCAGCAGGGACAAGGAGCAAGCUGGUGUCAUGCACCAAGAGUUCCUCAGACAUUUCCUCAACAUGGAGCAUGCUGGGUGCCGAGAAGUGCUUUGGCUCUGAGAUUUCUGGAUACACAGAGGUCCUCACUGGAGUUCAUCCUGCCCCGAAUUCAGCUCACUCACAGGCAGGCAGAUGGUUCUUGCAAGGAUGCACAUCCACCCUCCCUGGAAAGCAGAACAUUUCUAAGCAGCAGAACUGAAGUGGUGCUGGGAGUUGUCAGGGGUACAGAAAGGCAGGGCCACCACCUGCCCAUGACCUCAGGGUCCAGGGUCACCCUUUAUUCCUCUCAUUAGGCCACCUAACAUCAGGGACUUCUAGGUUUGGGUUUGUGUUUUUUCCAAAACAAAUAUCAGAUCCACUUCUUUCUCUAUCUCUGUUGCUGGCCCUCACCCUCUUGCCUGAGUAACCUCCAGAAUGGAUCGCACCACUUCUGCCUUCCCCAGGCCCACUCGCCACAAUUCCCUCUCUACAGAGCAGCCACAGUUAUCUUCCUCCAGCACAUUCACCCCUUCAAGGGCGUCCCAUCCAUUCUGGGUAACCAUUACUGUGGAACAGUCUUCCUCCAAACUGGGUAACCAUAAAACAACUGGUACUUUGUUCUAGAUCCCAGUUUGUGGGUCAGGAACACAGACAGGGCUCUGCUGAAUGGGUUUCCUGUUUCACACAGCAUUGGCUGAGGUCACAUAGGUACUCAGAUUGGGGAGAAUCUGAGCUGAGAAUCCUGCCUUGCAUUGGAGCCUGGUUUGGAGAAUCCAGGAUUACUUCACUCACAGGUUUUGGUAAUUCAGUGGAGGCGACUGAAGGGCUGGAGACAGCUGGAAUUGUUGACUGGAGAGCCUAUGUCGCCUCUCUAGCAUGGAGUCCUUAAGAGAGUCGGGUUUCUUACAUAGCAGCUUAGGGCCUCCAGAAGGAGUGUUUCAAAACAAGAAGUGGAAGUUGACCCUUCCUUGAGAUCAAGUAGAAAACCAGCAUAGCAUCAGCUCUGCCAUAUUGUCUUGGCCAAAGGAGUCCUCCUAGAGCCUCUCAGAUUCAAGGGUAGAUGCCACCUCUGGAUGGGAAGAAUGUAUGCUUCUUCUUCUGUUUACCACAUUCCAGCACUCAGAAAGAGAUCACUUUUCUGGCCAACAAGACCCUCAUGACCCAGUUCCCAACUGCCCAUGCCACAUUCUUCCUCCCACAUCACCCUUAAACCACAAUGCACUCCUUCCUGUUCAACAAACACACCAAGCUUUCUACUCUUAACCUCAGAAACUUCAUACCUGCUAUUCCUUCUGUCUGAAAUGUCUUCCCCUAAACCCUUCUCAAGGCUGGCUCCUCCUCAUCCCUCAGGUUUCAGUUCAUGUCUCCUCCUUAUGCUGUGAGUCCCCUCCAUAGCAGAUUCUUCCAGCAAACCCCUACGACCAGUCUAUCACCAGGCAGUCUAGAAUGUUCUGGGCUCCCUGUAGAGACUGAAAGUAAGAACCAGUACUUAGCUCUGGGAGGUAAAGACGCAUGCUGUUGUUGGAUGGGAUGAGUCUCAACUCUGCCUGUGGGUAGUUGUUUGCUCCCCAAGCCUCACUGUUUCUCAUCCAUUAAGCAAGGAUAAAUGGCAUUCACUUAAGAGUGUUGCCAUAAAAAAGGAAACGAGCCUGCACACAUGUAAGCACCAUGCAGAGUCACUGGACACGGUAGAGUUUCCAUAAAUAUUACUUAAAAGACAGAACAAUGUUUUCCCUCCCCUACAUACAAGACUGGUUUCAGUCUAUAAUUUCCAUGUUACUAGACAUUCUGGUUGGGGCUCUGGGUUCCAGAUGUUUUCUUGUGUUUAAUUUGAGAGUGGUAAUCUCAGCCAGCCCAGGUCACAGAAUUCGUAGCAUUCCAUUCCUUACAGGGAGGGCGAGCAUGGGGGACUUGGAUCAGAGCAAACAAGCUUAGGAGCCGUAGGAGCAAACGCACAGCAGGCAAGAGAGAUUUUUUAAUAAUAGAUGUUAAAAAAUGAAUCCAAACAAGGGAAAUAUACCCACCGACUAGGGAUAAAUGUAAUGUCUAUCAUGGGCUGUGAUAUAUGUCUGCUCUGAGACCAGCUCGACAAAAGGCCAAAUUUUCUUAAAAGCAUGUUAAAAUAUUAAUAGAUAUUUGAAACAGUUUUCCUGCAACUGCUGCCAGUCUUGGGGAAGAUUACAUCAGGCUGGAAAGAACAGGGAAAGACGCUGCAAUGUCUUUGCUGUGGUGACCUGCCUGGGGCACCUCAGAAGCCACUUCAACAGGGCGGGCUGCGGUCUGGUGCGGGGGGGGCCCUCAGGCUGCAUCUGUGUGAAUCAGAUGUGUGGAGAAUUUGAUGACUGGCCUCAGGGGCUGUGAUUCACUCCCUCUGGCAGGUUCUGCCAUCCUUUACGUGGUCUAUCGAGGUUCACUGGGUUGGCUCCAACCUCCCACUGGCCUCUUCUUCCCCCAGCCCCUCUUAGCCCCACGUCUACCGAUUAUUUUCAGACUCUUAUUCACCUCGUUCCCGCCUAUGGCAGGGCUUUCACUUUUUCUUUCUUUCUAGAACAUUCUUUCCUCCCUAUCUGAGAUCUCUUAUCUGUCGCCUACCCAUCUACGGCUUUGUUGGGGGGUCACACCCUCUCCAGCACCCCUGUAAGAUGUGUGUAAGUUCCCUACGGUCACUCCUUUCUCAUUCUCUCACUAGGAGUCUACGAGGAUGUAUUAAUCAACACUCCAUUGCUGGGACAAAUUACCUGAUAGACACUACUAAAGGGGAAAAGGGUUAUUCUGGUUUAUGGUAUCAUCCAUGCUCUGCUGGCCCCAAGGCAGAAACAUGACGGAAGAGCAUGGCCGAAGAAAGCUGCUCACCACAUGGCUUCUGGGUAGUAGAGUGGGAGGGGACCCUAAGAGGAAGUUCCCACCCCCACGCCUCCAUGACCCACCCAGACACACUCAGAAGUGUGCUUUGCUAAUCUCAUAGGCAUUGCUCCAGUCACGGAAGCUGACAGUGAAUGUGAACUAUCACGGUGGACAGAAGUGGCUAUAGGCUAUCUCUAGCCUCCUUAGGAACGCUGUGUGGAUGGGACUUGCAUGUAUUUCCCCUCAUCAUUGCAUCAACAGCACCUGGGACAGUAGGGAACCGAUAAAUAACUGAACAAAUGAAUAAAUCCAAGAAGGUUACCCAACACAGCACGAGGAUCAGGCAAAUCUUCACAAUCCCAAGAAGUGGGGGGAUCCGCUGUGGUGUCUUAAUAGCCAUAUGGACUCGAUCCACCAAUCAACCUUCAGUCUCUUUCCUUGCCUUUGCAGUGAAAACAUAUUUUAAAAAAGGAAAAAAUCCAACAUGCAGAGGGUCACUGGGAUCUCUGACCUAAAAGCGACAGGCACACUGGUGCCAACUUAACUAAUGCACUCAUCCAUGGCUUGCAGAGUUCUUUACUCAGGAGUUGUCCUCACAUCUUCCCCAGGCUCCCUAAAUCCACCGGAAUUAAUGGGACCCCCCCGCAACGAUCCGACCCUGGACUUCACUGUUGUCUUUGACUCUUCCUUUGUCACAUCCCUUCUGCAGCAGAUUGGUCAGUGAGCUCUGCUGAAUUCCCCACAACCUCUCUAGCACCAGCCCCUUCUUCUCCAUCCAGCCCCCUGCUUCCCUCCCUCCCCCUGCUUCUCUCCAGGAUGCUUUGCCUGUGGCAACAGUCUUCUUCCUUCAUCUUACUUCUUGCAAGAGUUCCUUCUGGUGUGUCCUUUUCUGGUGACACCUGGUAAUAUUUCUAAGUUACAAAGCUUCCAUUCAGCAGGAAUUUAUUGAUGAUGCUAUUACAGGACAGCCACUGUGAAGACACCAGGGAUGCUAGGGAAAUAAAGCUGCUCCUGACCUCCCAGGGGAGACAGAUGUGUAGCCAAUGACAGGUUUCUAGUGGGAAGAAAGUGACAGAUUCCUUAGAGCAGUAAAAAAAAAUGCCAAAUGACAUAGAAGUGGAAAGAGGUCGUUUAUUUAUUUCCUCUCUUCUUCUUCCCUCCUUCCCCUCCUCUUUCUUUUCCUUCUCUCUCUCUCCCCUUCACGCAUUCAGAAAACACUGUGCAGUGACAGGCUGAAUAGAUAAGAUAUGACAGAGAGUAGAGGCAGGGUGUGGAAAUGGAAUCUGGGUUUCUUGAAUCUUCUCUGCUUUUGACUUUGACCAAUGGAAUUUAUAUAUUUUUAAAGCUUAUUUUUUAAUUGCAAAAGUUGCUACCCUAUGACCUAGAAAUUCCUCAAAUAGAAAAUAUUCACCAAAAAGCCAUGUGCAGGAACAUUGGUAGCAACACUGCAAGUGCAAUUGCCCAGAGAGGAGAAAGUCCUUAAGUGAUACAAUACUAUCCUCAGAAAAUGGAAUACUAUACAACAAUGCCAAUGAAUGUAGUAGAAAAAGUUUGUGGUUGAAUUUCCGAAGCAUGAUAGUACAGGAAAGAAGCCACUAGAAAAAUGUUGUUAAAUUUUGACUCCAUUAUUAUAAAAAUCAAAACCAAACUGUUCUUGUCUAGGGCACUAAGGUUCAUUCAUAUUAUUAAUUGUUCAAUUAUGAUUAGAGCAUUUUUGUAUGUAUAUUACAUUUUAAUAAUAAUUUUAAAGAGUUUUAAGAAGAAUGAAGGAAUAAAUAUGUAUAAUCUGACUACCUAGAGUUGACCAUUGUAAAUAUUUAUAUUUAUUUCUUUUAAAGUUUUC